GGGUCAGUAGGUUGGUCGUGCCACCGGUACGUACUGGUCUCACUGAUUCCUCCUUCCUGAAGAACCGUAAUGCCAUUAAUUCGGUGUUGCGGGGAAACAGGACUGUUACUUUGAAAAAAUUAGAGUGUUUAAAGCAAGCUAACGCUUGAAUACAUUAGCAUGGAGUAAUGAAAUAGGACGAUCGAUCCUAUUUUGUUGGUUUCUAGGAUUGACGUA
rnacentral:rRNA from 1 species